GCGGAACGACGUGGUCAUGUUGGUGAUGUUCACGUCCCGGUAGCCGGCACACUGGAACCGGCACCACUGCUCCAAAGCCUGGAUGGCAGACAUGCUCCCGAAAAGCGCUCGCUAAUGUUUGGGAACUUGUGAAAGAGGCAAGCACAAGUCAAGUGUGGCCGAGGAGGAGAUGAUCUAAGGCCGCCGUGCCACGGAGAGGAAGAUGGAGAGCAGACAGAUGUGCGACGGGGCAGGUCGCGGCACAUUGCGGGGGUGGGGGGCGGCUGAGACACCGGGGAGCGUCUGCAUUCCUGCCAAGCUGAUCACUGCGAUCAAUACGAGCAUCACGCGCUCAAGCGGGCGUAGCAGUGGCCAGCCCUGCCCUUCUGCUCGCCGUCACUCAUCGCCGUUCCGUCUGGCUGCUGCCCGGCCGAUCGGAUGUUGGCGCCGGACCAAGAGCCCAGGCUGUCGGGACUUGUGCAGCAAGGUGAUAGAUCACCAUAAACACAGC